CUCUCAUCACGCGGGACUACCCGCUCAACUUAAGCAUAUCAAUAAGCGGAGGA
rnacentral:rRNA from 1 species